GUCAGGAUGGCCGAGUGGUUAAGGCGGUAGACUCACGUUCCCAGUAUGGGAUCGUGGGUUCGAAUCCCACUCUUGACA